UGCAAACUGCAAACAAUUUAGCCGAUUUAGCGAAUCAAAGCACGCCGAGACAAUGCUGUACAUGUAUCCAUCGUAUCGUGCGAGCCAGCGAUUUUAUUUAUAAUAACAGUGCAAAGUCAUAUAAAUUAUUAUAUCGAUUAUAACACCUAAUGUAUUUUACACUAGCCUUGCAUUUCCUUCGUUUUUUACAUUCGGCUAAUUCUUCCUUUACGUUCCUUUGCAUUUGUAUUUGCAUUUCUAUUUGCUUAGAUAUACCAGAGCGUAUCUGCCAUCUAUCAUACAUGGAAAUCUUCAUCGAACAUGAUCGAAAUCGAUUACACAUCUGUCAACUAUCAUCUAUCUAAUUUCACCCGAUUAUCGUAAUGGACAAUCUCUAUUCGAAAAAUGGACGUAUACCAGAUACCAAGUCCAUACCCUCUAUAGCCAAUAUUUUUCCAGAACGCGUAUUUAUUUGAUCAAAAUCAUCGUAAUACAUGUAUGUAGGUAUGUAGGUAUGUACCCGUCAGUGUACAUAAACCAUCGCCGUAUAACUGUAAAUAUUAGAAAACUUUAACGCGAACUAUAAACGACACAAACGCGACUAUGUACGAGAAACUGUAAAAAAACGCGUAUUUCAAGCGAAUAUAUGUAUACAUGUAUGUAUAACUAUAUACAAAUACAUAUGUACAUACACGUUUCGCCGGUUAACGAUAAAUUCAAUAUUUUAUUCAACGUUAACUCCACUCUAUUGUGCUGAAAGUUCCGAUAAAUAAAAAGGAUGUAGUUACUUGUAGUAGUAAUGCAUGCGAUUUCAACAAAUCGAUUAUGAAGAAUACAAUGUUGAAAAGAUGCGAGGGUAACC